GUGCAGUGGGAAAGGCGAGAAACUGACCUCUCCAGGAUGCAGACGAGUACAGCACACACACCCUUCCGGCCUCAGCUUUAAAAGUUCCCUGUCUGGCUGCAACAGUGGAAAUAGUGAAAAUACAUAUUGUGAGACAGGGCGUCAAUCUGGAACAAAGAGGAAUACCUGAUUCUGGAGGUCCUAAGAGCGACUAAGCAUCCCCACCCCCACCUGCAUUCCAUGGGCCUCAACCUCUGGGGAAGAAAAUACCUCCCAAGGUCUGCUGCAAUAAGAGGUGUGUACCACAAUUCUAGAAUCUCAUCCACUCGUCUCCCACCACCCUUCAUUCAAGAGCCUCGUUCUGUUUUUUAAUACUCUGAGGGAGAAAAAGCAGUUCCACGCUCCAAGAGUCCUGGUGCCCAAUCUAUCUUCCACCCGUCCAUCAUCCCAAAGAUGUGGGAUCUAGGAUGUGACUGUCUUGCCUCUGGGCUGAGGAAAAGUCUCCAGGAGACAGACACUGUACGUGAAGAGAUAGCAGCUACAAAGCAGAUGGAAUGGAUAGGUCU